CAUUGAGCACCGCUGUUCAAUCAAUCAAUCAAUCAACAUUUCUUUGUAUAGCACUGCCCAAAGUGCUUUACAUCAGCUGUUGACACAACGAAGAACGGCGUGGAAGCAGCGACGCUCGGCCGUAGACAGUAUGCGUGAAAGCUGCGAGGCACUAAAUACCAACUUGAAACCUACUUGAAAUAAAACCUUCCCGAGUAAAAAGACAACAAACCUGUCUGUAAGAUUCAAAGUUGAAGAUCCACCUUCACACUCAUCCAUUGCAUGUUUGACACCAACCUUCUUUUACAUCUCUUUUUGAAUUAAACUGCCUUCGCUCUUCG